rnacentral:lncRNA from 1 species
CCUGGGAACUGUUGGGUAAGGUUUCAGAAAAUUCUUCUCUUCCCCAGCCAGAAUAAUCGCUGACUGUGAGGGGCCGAAUAGAUCUACAGCUGAACUAGGAGAGCUUCUCAUGUGCCAUCCUUAUCCUUCAAGUCCUGUGUGCAGCAUAUUGGCCCCCGGCGACCUUAUGUACAAAUACCUCAGAAGUUGUAUGAUGGAGCUUUGAGAGAGACUUGAGAAAGACCCACUAUGUAUACAAAAUAUUGCAAGAAUUGGCAGUGAGGAGUCCAGAGAGAACUUGUUUCCCCUGGAGUGACCUCUCUUUGUACUUCAGCAUUUGAUGUUGCUCCCCCCUGAACUAACCAGUGCAACCAAGCAGAAAAUAUGGCCUUACUUCUCAGGAUUUCUCAGUUGGAUGCAGAGCUAUUGUUUUAGACUACUUCAGAUCCCUGAAACUGACAGAGGAGGGGAACUGGAAUCUUGGAGCUGGAAAGUCACCUGAUGCCUGAACAUGCCUCAGGCACAGCAGUGAGGCAUGGGUGGAGAUGCCACUAAGUUAAGACUCUCUCUCUCAGCAAUUCAGACUGACUCAUCAUUCCUUAAGUCAUCAGAGAACUGGAAAAUUCGGCAGUGGAAGAGGAGCAUUUACAGCCCUGUAAUGAGGGAGCAUGGACUCUGCAAGUCCAACCCUGUGGCUUGUUUGAACAUCCUAAGUAUUUGGUAAAGUAUGCAUGUAUAUAAGGUAUGUAAAGAAAAAAAUUGAGGAUGCUCAUCUUUUUCUUUUUAAACUGCUGUUGAAAUAUGG